AAGGCGAGCGCGCGAGCGUGAGCGAAUCCCAGAAAUAACGUCUCAGUUCGGAUUGUAGUCUGCAACUCGACUACAUGAAGCUGGAAUCGCUAGUAAUCGCGGAUCAGAAUGCCGCGGUGAAUACGUUCCCGGGUCUUGUACACACCGCCCGUCACACCAUGGGAGUCAGCAACGCCCGAAGCCGGUGACCCAACCUUUCUAGGAGGGAGCCGUCGAAGGCGGGGCCGAUGACUGGGGUGAAGUCGUAACAAGGUAGC
rnacentral:rRNA from 1 species